CAAUAGCGUAUAUUAAAGUUGUUGCAGUUAAAAAGCUCGUAGUUGGAUCUGUGGUGUGCGGUGGGCUCCGGGCACUUGUUGUCUGAGCAGCUCGCCGCUGCCAUCCUUGGGUGGAACCUGUGUGGCAUUAGGUUGUCGUGCAGGGGAUGCCCAUCGUUUACUGUGAAAAAAUUAGAGUGUUCAAAGCAGGCUUAUGCCGUUGAAUAUAUUAGCAUGGAAUAAUGAGAUAGGACUUUUUCGCUAUUUUGUUGGUUUGCGCGAAGAGGUAAUGAUUAAUAGGGACAGUUGGGGGUAUUCGUAUUCCAUUGUCAGAGGUGAAAUUCUUGGAUUUUUGGAAGACGAACUACUGCGAAAGCAUUUACCAAGGAUGUUCUCAUUAA
rnacentral:rRNA from 1 species